CCCUUUAGCCUUCAUUCUUCGUGGUAGAUUUUCUUUGGCAGAUUUUGGCCCAUGUGGACAGCGGCGGGACCCCGCAAACAGACCGGGGAUAAGAUGUCUAUGGGCUGAAUACACCUUAGGAUAGGGAAUGAAAUGUCUGAUCACUGGGGUGCUGCAGCUGGGGAUCCCCGGCAGCGACCGUAACACAGAUUUUCCACGUCCCCUCCAUUCAUGUCUAGAAAUUUGCUCCACGCACUGGAUAAGUGGGGUGCUGCAGCAGAAUUGCCGCAUGAUUAGACAUCUUAUCCCCUAUCCUUUGGAUUGGAAAUAAGAUAUUUUCCGGUGGAGUACCCCUUGAAUCUUAUUAUUAUUAUUUUUUUUUUUAAAGAAAUUUAUAUAAUCCUGUUUUGAAGCCCACAACUGUUCCUGUUGUGACCAGUUCCUGAAGCAGACUAUUCCAUAAAUUCACAGUUCUUAUGGUAAAGAAGGCUUGUCACCCCUUGAGACAAAACCUUUAUUUACCCUCCUGUCUAUGAGUGCCCUCAUAUUUUUUGUACUCCAUAUAUACUUAAAGGGGUACUCCACUGGAAAACAUUUUUUUUACAUCAUCUGGUGCCAGAAAGUUAAAAAGAUUUAUAAAUAACUUCUAUGACCACUGUGCUCUCUGCUGACACUUCUGUCCAUUUUAGGAACUGUCUAGAGCAGGAUAAGUUGGCAUUGGGGAUUUGCUCCUACCCUGUACACCCUACAUUCUAUUCACUAUUUCUCGUACCCCAUAGCAUUUAUUAUUGUUAUCGGUAUGCCAUCGGUAUGCCUGCUAAGGCUUACUGCACUAAAGGAGCACCAGUUGGAUGGGAGGAAGGCAGCUUCUUUAGCAAGCAGGGCCAGCAAGCAGGUCCCGUGGUGCAUGGAGCCGGAAGCCAGAGCCACAGCGCAUAGGCAAUGCCGGCCCUGAGCCCCAGGAAUGUAAUCUUCAGAGACUUUAUUGCCAUGAGGCCAGACCCCAUAGUACCCUCCCACUUUCCUAGUGGCGCCACUGGUGUCUAGGCACUUUACACGGUGCGGAGGCCACUCUUUAUGAUGUCAAUAAGAAAUUAAAAAUCUUAUUCUCCAACAAAAAAAAGAUGCUUGUGUUGUUCUCUUUUAUGAAGUCAUCAGACCAUGGCCUGGUAUUUAUAAAUCUUUUUUCUCUGUGAUAGAUUACAGGAUAUAGCAGCAUAUAAAUACAUACAUAACGCUAAAUACAUUAAAAGCAGCAGUAAGACAGUUGUCAUGUAAAAACUUCUGUAUUAUGUUGUGUAUUGUUUAAUUGUAACUAGGUGUUUUCAGGAAAGCCACAUCUUAGAAAGGCCAAAUCUUUCACACCAAUAAAAGUGACAUAAUUAAAUAGCAUAUAAAACAUAGCAGGAGAAGACGAUAAUGCCAUUUAACCCUUCUAAACCCUAAUUCACAGCAAAUGUAAAUCCCUGAAUUCAAGUUCAAUCAAGAAAAAUGACACCUUGUAAUUGUCUACAACAGGAAUGUCCUCACAGUGUUGAUGUCACGUUCUACACGAGCAUGUAAAAUAAUACAGGUGACAUCUACAAAACAAAACAAAAGUACUUUCUAAUUCAGCAUAUUCCCACUAAGGUAUUUAAAUGCUGGCAUUAAUACAUUUAGUGUUAUAAAUUCACAUUUUCUUAAAGGAGUAGUCCAGUGCUGAAAAACUUAUCCCCUAUCCUAAGGAUAAGGGAUAAGUUUCAGAUUGCGGGGGUCCAAUCGCUGGGGCCCCCCGCAAUCUCCUGUAUGGGGCCUCGGCAGCCUGC